AAAAAAAAGUAAAAAAGAUUUUUAAAAGAAGCCAAAGCAUCUAGUCUGAAACAGACAUUUCAUGGAGGCGGGGCGGUCUUACACUUAAAAAAUUAGUAUUCAUUGGUUGGGGCGAUUUUACGAAAGAGAGGAGACUCGGUUCUAGGACAUGAAGCUGGCAACUCAAGGACAGCAAGUCCUCAGGAGCUUGGGACUUGAACCUAUCAAGGACCCAGUUCUGCUGUUGCCUGGGAACAGAGAAGGGAGGAGCUGCCAGAGAGAAGGGAGGAGGGGACAGGGAGAGGGCAACCUCUCAGCUGCGCGCCCUGACGACAGCAGGUGAUUUUUUUUUUUUUUUCUGCAGCGCGCAUACUCUCAGCAUCUUUUCUUGAUCACCCCACCUCCCUUGCUGAGCCGCAAAAAAGGGUGGGGCCGCCUCUCUGCAGCAGAAGACGACAGCGGCAGCGGCUGCGGCAUCACCGGGGGUAUAGAUAGAGGCCGUUUUGCUCUCUGCUCUGUCUGGGUUGGAGGUGACCGCUGCCAAGCCUCGCUAGGCGGCCGGCUGAACCAGACGGAAAGGAGAUAAAAGCCUGCUUGCGGAUCCUUCCCUGCGCCAUGGCUUAAGCCCACAGCCUCUUUGCCAAGCAUCUCCUUGCUCUGCCGGGGUCUGCUAGACACCGCAGUCGCAGAGAGGGCGCGCCCAGACGCCCUAGGCCUGGACUCUGGGACGCUGAGCCUCGCUCCUAUUCUUCACUGCCCACAGCAGCUCCUCUGCAGCAGGCGUUUGCAGCCGGCAAUCGAGGGACUUUACGGACUUUAUCUCAGCGGUACCUUGUCCCCGGGUGCUCUUUGAGGGUGGAGGACGAGGCAAAGGGCUUCUAAGGGAAGGAAGCGGUGGGAACCACAUUGGCGGGUCUGGGUUGGGGUUAAAGGGAGAUUGGAGAUUUGAUUUAGGACCACAAAAAGGCUUUGUGGCUAACAUGGCGUGGCCGUGCAUCACAAGGGCCUGCUGCAUCGCCCGCUUCUGGAACCAGCUGGACAAGGCGGACAUUGCGGUGCCGCUGGUUUUCACCAAGUACUCGGAGGCCACCGAACACCCAGGCGCCCCUCCGCAGCCGCCAGCUCCGCUGCAGCCCGCGUUAGCGCCCCCCUCGCGUGCUGUCGCCAUAGAGACGCAGCCAGCCCAGGGAGAGUCGGAUGCAGUUGCCCGGGCAACAGGGCCUGCGCCCGGGCCCAGCGUCGACCGCGAGACUGUAGCCGCCCCCGGCCGGAGCGGGCUGGGCUUGGGCGCGGCCUCAGCCUCCACUUCCGGCUCAGGCCCCGCGGACUCGGUGAUGCGACAGGACUACCGCGCCUGGAAAGUGCAGCGGCCCGAGCCAAGCUGCCGGCCGCGCAGCGAGUACCAGCCGUCCGACGCGCCCUUCGAGCGCGAGACCCAGUACCAGAAGGACUUCCGCGCCUGGCCGCUGCCCCGGCGCGGGGACCAUCCCUGGAUCCCCAAGCCGGUGCAAAUCCCUGCGACUUCGCAGCCUUCCCAACCUGUUCUCGGGGUGCCCAAGCGUCGGCCUCAGAGCCAAGAGCGCGGGCCCAUGCAACUUUCUGCUGAUGCCCGGGACCCGGAGGGUGCUGGAGGAGCCGGGGUGCUGGCGGCAGGAAAGGCGUCCGGUGUAGACCAGCGCGACACACGUAGGAAGGCAGGGCCAGCAUGGAUGGUGACUCGCAACGAAGGGCACGAAGAGAAGCCUCUGCCCCCAGCCCAAUCCCAGACCCAGGAGGGUGGUCCUGCAGCUGGAAAGGCGUCCGGUGCAGAUCAGCGUGACACACGCAGGAAGGCAGGGCCAGCAUGGAUGGUGACUCGCAGCGAAGGGCACGAAGAGAAGCCUCUGCCCCCAGCCCAAUCCCAGACCCAGGAGGGUGGUCCUGCAGCUGGAAAGGCGUCCGGUGCAGAUCAGCGUGACACACGCAGGAAGGCUGGACCCGCGUGGAUGGUGACUCGCACGGAAGGGCACGAGGAGACGCCGCUGCCACCCGCCCAGUCUCAGACCCAGGAGGGCGGCCCCGCAGCUGGAAAGGCAUCUGGUGCAGACGAGCGCGACACGAGGAGGAAGGCGGGGCCGGCCUGGAUGGUGCGUCGCUCGGAGGGGCACGAACAGACACCCGCUGCCCAUGCCCAAGGCACAGGGCCUGAAGGAGGCAAGGGGCGCGCGGUGGCAGAUGCCCUCAACAGGCAAAUCCGGGAGGAGGUGGCGAGUACAGUAAGCAGCUCUUACAGGAAUGAAUUCAGAGCAUGGACUGACAUCAAGCCUGUGAAACCCAUCAAAGCCAAGCCCCAGUACAAGCCCCCAGAUGACAAGAUGGUUCAUGAGACCAGCUACAGCGCCCAGUUCAAAGGGGAGGCCAAUAAGCCCAGUGCAGCGGACAACAAGGCCAUGGAUCGCAGAAGAAUACGGAGCCUCUACAGUGAGCCUUUCAAGGAAUGCCCGAAGGUAGAGAAACCUAGUGUUCAGAGUUCCAAACCAAAAAAGACCUCAACGAGCCAUAAACCCCCAAGGAAGGCCAAAGACAAGCAGGUGGUGUCGGGCCAGGCUGCCAAGAAAAAGACCACAGAGGGCCCCAGUGCUACCAAACCCGACGACAAGGAGCAAAGCAAAGAGAUGAACAAUAAACUGGCUGAGGCGAAAGAAUUGCCUCUCAGGUACUAAUUGCAAGCAGUCAGAGCUAAAUGUUGGGAAAGGCGAAGAUGGACCCAGAGACGCCCUGGCCAACAAGGUAGUGUAAAAUUUUCAUGCCGUGUCCCUGGGACAGUGACUGCCUGAGCCACCCGCCGCCUCACUGCAGUGAGAAGCUGCUGCCUAACUCUCCCCUUCUGUGGCCAGCGGCAGUGGCAGCGGCUGCGGCAGCGGCAGCGGCCCUGGCCUCCUUUCAUGCGGGAGUGCAGCUUACUCAUUUAAUCCAUGGUCAUGCUACAGGUUCCACCCGGGGUUGGCUCUGUGUUGUGCAUGUGCCUGACAUGGGAAUGAAAAAAUGGCCAGGAGAGUGGCUCAGACAAGGAUUCAGUGAGUCAGGGGACUCGGAAGCUCAGUGGAGAACAGUUUUUCCCGUGGGGGUGGGAAAUAAGAAAAAGCUUCCUGUUGGAGGGCACUUAGAAGGGUGGCAGGAUAUACGUGUGCUGGGCGUGUAGGGCAGGUGCCAAGGCAAGAUUCGGGGAUGGGAAGGGGUGGGGUUGGUGGAGUGCUUCAGGGCAAGAACCUCGGGCGCUCACUCUGUUGUCCUUCUAGUAAAGCAGGAGACAAAGACUUUGAUCCCGUCGUUUCUCCAACCUGUGUCUAUUGGAUACUGUUGUAUGCCAGGCUCUGUGCUAGGCACUAGGGAAGCCAGGAGACUGAGACCAUACCUCUCUGAUCACAGUGGGCGUGGAGGAGGAAUCUGUUCUAGCUGGUUCCAUGGAUGAGAAAGGACUCAGCAGAUGGAUGAAUGGAAGACAUUUGCACCCAGCUGUUAUUUUUAUAAGAGGCAGGAUACAGAACAAAUGCUCAACACAUAAAGAUAUAGAUAAGUGUUAGUUUUCAUUUCAGAGACUAAUUAGGAUUGGGAGAUAGGACAGGAGAGAUCAGAGGUGCAGAUAGAGGCGAAAGAGAGAAAAGAAGGAAACUACAGAACAUCAGAGCGCCAAGAGUAAGCCCAGAGAGUGAGGGAAGAGGAGAUGCUGACAGAACCAGGCCAGGGCAAGAGGAGGAGGUCCAAGGGAGGAGGCCAGAGAGCAGGUCAGCCUGGCCUGCUUCAUCUGCACCACCCAGGUGACCCAACCCAAGCCCACACACCCAUGGCUCCCGACACGGCCCAGAGCCCCAGCACAAGAACCUACAACCCUGACUCAUAUCACAUUCCUAAGACAACCGACAACUAAACCAGGCAGGUAGCUUUAGAACUACCUGCUAGUUUACUGUUGUAAACUAGUUAGAUGUGAGUUUCAAUUCUUGCUUCAGGUGUAUAUAUUUUUGGUGCGGUUCCACCCAGGGUCAUUCCCAUCUCACAAAAGCUGUGGACCCCUGUGGUACCUCGUGGUGGUUUCCAGGGCCAUGGACUGCUCAAAUGCUGAAAUGCUCACAUCUCAGGUAUCCAAAGUUUCAGGGUGCACCAUGUAGGCCAUCAAGCACUUAAAGCAGGCUGCUGCUCCCUAAACCCUAUCCCAGCACAGCCUGGGCAGUGGCUAGAACCAUGGUGACAGAGAUGCCCUUUCCCGGGGCCACACUUCACAGUCUGGCAGGUACCCCAGAUUCUUGCUCCAGCAUCUACAGGGCUCACAGUACCCCCCUAACAUUUAGGCCAUCCUACAUCAGCCAUGCAGCAUCAGGAGAGCAAGUCUAAACACCUCAGGCAUUUCCUCAAGGAGUUUGGCUGAGAUGGAAAGGGCCCUCAGACACUGUGGGGUCGGCAGCUGGAAGCUGGGUCUUCACUGGCCUCUUGGAUGGAGUCUUUGUACCCUUCUCUAGAAAGAAGGACUGUAAGCGUGGGGAUGGGACUCCAGAGUGCAAGGGACACAGACACUAGGCAGAUUGUUUCAGUACUGUGUAGUACUGGGGUGGUAUGUGAUAAAAUGAAGCUAACUGAGAAACUAGUCAUACAAGAGGUUGAAUGAGUCAAACAGUCCAAAGACAACCGCCGCCUUGAGAGAAUUCCAGCUAUUGGAUUCUUUGGAGUCCAUGGACUGAAUAAUGUCCAAACAAUUUAUACUUUAGUUGCUUACAGAGCAGUCUCUCUAUGAGCACAGCGAGGCAAGCAUUUGCCCAGGUAUCAGAUAAGGAAGGGGUAGCUCCAAGGGGAAGGCUCUGGCCAGCUUGGCCCAGCUUGAAAGACAGGAAGCUUAGGACUGGCUGGAAUGAAUCAGGUUCCAGACAAGUGGGACCCCUAGGGAAAAUUACACCCAAAGCAGGCAAAAGUACACUGUGGCCUGGCCGUCACAAGCCCUCCAGCGAGCAAGCCCAGCACUCCCUUAGAUACUAGAAUCCAGUGUGAACUGGGAGGAAAUCAGAAUUGGACCAGGUCUUCUGUUACCAGCUGUGUGAUGGAAUCCAGAGGAUGCUCUGAACACUGGAGAGUGGAGGCCACUCCUUGGUGCUUUUUAUUCCGAACACUUGAGUUGAGCUGAAAUGUCUGUCUCUGUCCUCGAGUGAGUGGCUCUUGGCCACUUGCUCACUAGGGACCAUACUCAGCUGUCUCAACAUAGAGUCUCAGGAACCUUACCUGGGGCCAACGAAAUUUCAAGUGCAUAGAAAAGUAAAUUAUUGCCACUGCUAUGGGCGGAAGCUGCUGGAGGGCUCUCAAAGGGGCCUUGCAAGGCUGACCAUGUCAUCCCCUGCUUGAAACCAUCGGCUCCGGCUCCCACGGCCUGCAGAAGCUUAUUCUCAGUCACCACGCUGCUUCUCACCUCCAUGCCUUCCCCACGCUGUCCCUCCUACCCAGAAUGCCCUUCUCCUGCUUCUCACCCGGCUAACUCAUCCUUCAAGACUCGGCUCAGGGGACUGCUCCAGGAAGCCUUGCCUGCACCUUCCAGGCUGGGAGCCGGGUCAAACCCACCAGUGAUGCAUCUAAGAACCGAGGUCCUGUAACCAAAGAGCCACACAAGGAUCAAGGCUCUGUGGCCCCAGGUCUUCCAAAAGGCCAAGAGCCUUUGAAGGAUCAAGGCCCUGUGGUGCCAGGACUGCCAAAAGAUCAAGUUCCUGUAGUCCCAGGGUCCUUAAAGGGUCAGAGCCCUACAGCCCCGGGCCCUACAAAGGAUCAAGGUGCUGUGCUCUUAGGGCCCGUGAAGGAUCUAGGUCCAGUGGCCCCAGCACCCAUCAAGGUUCAGGACCACAUAGCAUCUGAGCUUUUAAAGAAUAAAGAUUCUGUCCCCUUAGCACCAGCCAAAGCCCAAAGCCCUCUGUUGCCAGAGCCUCUGAAGAAUCAGAGUCCUGUGGUUCCAGCAAGCACUAAGGAUCAAAGCUUCCCAACACCAGCACCUCGGAAGGACCCAGGCCCUGUGAUCCCCGAGCCCGAGAAGGAUCGAGCUCCCACGGUCCCAGAGCGUAGGAAGGACCAGCAUGUCUCCAUCAUGGCCUCUUUGAAGAACGAAGCUCCUAUGGUCCCCGAGUCUGUGAAGAAUCAAGGCUUAGCAGGCCCAGAGCUAGUUAAAGAUACAGGUACAGAUACAACAGCCCCCAGGUAUCUGAAGGGACAUGAUUCUGUGUUUGUAGCACCUGUGAAGAACCAAGGUCCAGUGAUCCCUGAGCCAGUGAAGAGCCAAGACCCCAUUAUCCCAGCACUAGCCAAGGACCAAGGUCCCAUGCUCCCAGAGCCUCCAAAGAAUCAAAGCCCUGUGGUUCUUGGGCCUAUAAAGAAUCAAGACCCUAUAAUCCCAGUACCUUUGAAGGGUCAGGAUCCCCUGGUGCCAGCCCCAACAAAGGACCAAGGUCCUACAGCCCCUGACCCUCUGAAGACUCAAGGUCCCAAAGGCACUCAACUGCCCACAGUCUCACCUUCACCCCCAGUCAUGAUCCCAACAGUUCCCCAUACGGAAUAUAUUGAGGGAUCCCCUUGAUUGCCCUGAAAUGCCAUGAAGGAGCUGGCAGUGGAAGUGUUUCCCUUCUGGGGAGGCAAAGUCAUAUAUUUAAUCUGCAUGAAACUGUGCUGUAUAGUCUUGCUGGAAUCUAAUAAAAUUGGUUCCUCUGGCUCA